UUUUCUAGGAAGUGAAUCCAUGGCUUUCAUCAAGUUCUUUAAAUGAUGAAAAAGAUUAGAAAACACUACUUUAAGGCUUGGUGAAAAGUAAGAGAAGAUGUCCAGUACCAAAACUGGCCUGAGCUUCCCCAGGGAGCAGAGAAGAGUUACGGGUGAAGAAAUUGCAGGAUUCCAAAGAAAUGCAACAGUGAUUUGACUUCAAGACAAUUGGGUGUUCAAGGAAAGAAAAGAAAUUUCAGUCUUAAUUGGAAGAAAAAGUUUUGUGAUCUACUUAGAAGUUUUUAUCAUCCCAUGACUGGUUUAACACAACUCUUUCUCCUUGGAUCAGGGUGAUAUGUUCAAUUUCUAUUUCUUCUCUCAGAUUCAGAGAGAAAAUGAAGACGCUUCUUCAAACUAGAAAAA